rnacentral:miRNA from 1 species
CGAUGGAUACAUCCUGCUAGUU